UACGUAGGGUGCAAGCGUUGUCCGGAAUUAUUGGGCGUAAAGAGCUCGUAGGCGGUUUGUUGCGUCGGCUGUGAAAUCCCGAGGCUCAACCUCGGGUCUGCAGUCGAUACGAGCAAACUAGAGUGUUGCAGGGGAGACUGGAAUUCCUGGUGUAGCGGUGAAAUGCGCAGAUAUCAGGAGGAACACCGGUGGUGAAGGCGGGUCUCUGGGCAACAACUGACGCUGAGGAGCGAAAGCGUGGGGAGCGAACAGG
rnacentral:rRNA from 1 species